rnacentral:rRNA from 1 species
CUACGGAGGGUGCGAGCGUUAUCCGGAUUUAUUAGGUUUAAAGGGUGUGUAGGCGGGAGCCUAAGUCAGUGGUGAAAUCUCACAGCUUAACUGUGAAACUGCCAUUGAAACUGGGUUUCUUGAGUAUAGUUGAGGUAGGCGGAAUGUGUAAUGUAGCGGUGAAAUGCAUAGAUAUUACACAGAACACCGAUUGCGAAGGCAGCUUACUAAGCUAUUACUGACGCUGAUGCACGAAAGCGUGGGUAGCGAACAGGAUUAGAUACCCCAGUAGUCC